rnacentral:lncRNA from 1 species
UUUUAGAUAAAAAAAUGUGCAAACGUAUUGCGGAAAACUGACUUAUUAUGUUUGUUUGCAGGAAUUGGUUAAAAGAAGGAAAGAAAGUCAUAACCAACUCAUGAAGGAGUUAGAAUUGCACAUGUUCAAAGAUAAGAUAAAAGCGCUAAGCACGAAGAAAAAGAGCGGCCGCAGAAGGUCUACCACGAGGGCAGCCACAAUUACAUUGACAACAGAAUUGAGAUUCAUAGCAGGCAUUUUGGGGGUACAACAGAUACAGCUGACCAUAGUGAAAUAGCGCGACAAUGGAAUACUUGACCUGGCCGCGGUGCAAAUAACACUAAGGGCGAAAUAGAGAUUCAAAGAUCCUGCAAAG